rnacentral:tRNA from 1 species
GGAGGAGUGCUUGAGUGGACGAAAAGGAUGGUUUGCUAAACCAUUAAGGGGUUAAUAUCUCCUUCGUGGGUUCGAAUCCCACCUCCUCCGCCA